rnacentral:tRNA from 1 species
AGGAACUGUGCCUGAACGCCCAAGGGACACUUUGAUAGAGUGAACUACAGGGGUUAAACUCCCCUCAGCUCCUU